AAGGAUAAUGAGAUUCAUGCUUCUGAUUCUAUCACCAGUUCAUUACGUAAGCUGUUCAUUGAUGAACCAGAAGAAUCUUCAUCGUGUUCAUCAUCAGAAGCAGACGAAUUGGAAGCUCUACCUUCUGGAACUUACUGCGUUUGGAGGCCUAAGACGGAAGGUGGAUCAUCAGCUGUUAUGACUAAAAUUAAGAAGAGUAGUUCUACGGGGUCUCUAUUGAAGAAGUGGAAGCUCCGGUAUAUGCUCCGGCGAAGCAACAGUGAAGGGAAGGAUCCUGUGAUUUUGUUAACUCCUAAGAAAAAAGGAAUUCCGGUGAGGUUUCCAAAGUCGCCGGUAAGUCGAAGGCUCAAACUCCUGUUCAUGAGCUAUUUUACGUGCGAAAAAGAGCAGAAAAUGAAGUCGGAAAGAGGAAAUCAUUUCUACCUUAUAGGCAAGUGGGUUUGUUCACAAAUGUCAAUGGAAUGGGGAAGAUGCUUCCGUUCUAGAAUAGCCAAAAGCAAUUUUGUUUAAUUCUUUAACUCUAGUCACUGAUAUUCAAAAAUUGAAUUUAGUGAUUUAUGUAAAUAUGUUUCAUUGAGAAUAACCAGACGCAAAAAAAGAUGGUUAUAAUUAUAAUUUGUAGAAUUAACUAUUUAAGAUUUCGAUGAUUAGUGUUAUAUUAUAUGUUAGCUGUUUUAUAUGAGAAAAUUUCGUAGAGAACUUUGAAAUUGUAAGGGUUUAACUUUUAAUUUAACAAAAUUCAAUAAUCCUUGUGUUUACAUUUAUAUUAAUACUAAAUUAUUAUGGCCCCAUCAAAUCCGGAAAACUCUACACUUUCCUCUUAUUUCUUCAUCGCCUCCACCGCCAUCACCAUCACUUUCCACCCACACGAUCAUUUUUUCUUUUGGAUUUGAAACCUGCAACAAGGACUCCCGACUCCCCAUCACUAUCUAAUUUAGCAACAACUUAAUAAGAUAAACACGUUCUAAAUAUUCACUGCAUAGAGAAAAUUUUGAUCCAUAUGGUUGAGGUAUUACACAUCCUUAUUGACCUGAAAUGUUGUCAAUCAGAGCAUAACAUCUCAAAUGAUGAGUAUCUAAAAGAUUAGCUGCAGUAAUAUGCUAAACCUAAUUGGUGUGAGAGUUGUAAGGAUAUAUUUGAGGGAGGUGUAAGACAGUCAAGCCAAGGCUAUAGGUAUUCCAUAUGAUUUCGUGUGUGUUUUCAUCUGAUUUCUUGUGUAUGUGUUCAUCAGAUCUGAUUUCAUAUAUGUAUAUGCGUUAAUCAGAUUUUGUGUGUGUAUGUUCAUAUGAUUUCAUGUGUUUGUGUUCAUCUGAUUUUAUGUGUGUGUUCAUUUGAUUUGAUUUUGUGUGCGUGUGUUCAUCAAAUCAGAUUUUAUAUGCGAGUGUUUGUUUAUUAGAUAUGGGCGAACACAAUAAAAAAACCUAGAUUUUGUGUAUGGUUUUUGUUUCUGACAUGAUUUUUUGGUGGAGUUGAAGUGACUCAAAAGAUUUAGGUGGAGAUGGAGGUAACAGACGGUGAUAGUGGCAGACGAUAGUUGAAUGGUGGUGGUGGCAAAGAUGUUCUUAAAUGUUUUUUAAAGACAAANGAAGACAAAGGUGUGUCUUUAUUGUUUACGAGAGAGAGAGAGAGAGAGAGAGAGAGACUGUAUGACCCCCUUCUAAAUUAUUAAAAUAAUAUAAAAUGUAAAAUAAAAUUAACAUGUUGUAAUAGUCAUUUUAAUUUUUGGAUGAACAUUUCCACAUAGAGCUACACAUUGGCGAUCCUAGAGAAGUCUUGGGUCGGUCCGGUCUUUUUGAAGUCGGUAUCGGAAUGGUCUGGUAUUUUUUCGGACCGGUCUUUUUCGGUCUCAUCUCAUUCGGUCUUUUUCGGUCUCAUCUCUCAGUUUUUCCGUGCACCUUUUUGGUUUGAUUUAAGGUUUUUUUUUUGUUCAGUUACCAUAUUUUUCGAUUCUUUUGUUUUGGUUUCGAGGUUUAACAUUGAUAAAUAUGAGAUUAUCAUCAAAAUGAUAAAUUAAGAUUUAUUAAAAAUGAUAAUUUAAAUUUAAUAAAAGAAAAAAAUGAAAUAAAUUAGAUAGUUUGUGAUUAAAAAUUGUAUAAUUAACACAAAAAGUAUAUAUAUUUAUAAGUUCGGUUACCGGUCUUUUUUUAGAAUCGGUUUCGGAACGGUCUGGUUUUUUUCGCAUCGGUCCGGGACGGUUUCGGGCCGGACUUUUUCGGUUCGUUCUUUUUAGGUCCGGUCUUUUUUCGGUCCGGUAUCAUUUUAGACCAAUUCAGUCUCUGUCUUUUUUUGGUUCCGGUCCGAGACCAGUCUUUUUGUGCAUGUUUAUUUCCACAUAGAAAUAUGAUAAAAGGGACCAUCAAAUUCAAAAAAAUCGAAGUUAACGAAAGAAAAAUACAUAACACAAGGACAUUUUUGCAGUUUUAUCAAUCAUAAAGAAUAAUGUAACGUCUAUUUUAUUUCAACUUGUCGAUUUUCCAUUUGUGUAGCCGCAUUAUAGCAUAUUAACUUUAUUUCAUUUUUUUAAUAUUAUAAAAUUUCUAGAAAUAUGUAAAUAAAGGGAGAUUAAGUCAAAUAAAUAUCAUUUUCACAUGUAAGUUCCAGCUAGUGGAAUAGAACCAUCCAUUAAUAUUCAUUUUAUUCCUAUUUAUAAUACAAAAAUAUAACUCAAAUAUACAAAUAACGAUUAUUGUUUUUCCAUUUACAUUUAUGGAAUAUAUCAAUUAACUAGAAAAAGUAAGUCUCAAAUAUAAAUUCUUUACUUCCAUUAUAAUUAAUCAAUUUCGUAACAUUAUUAUAGAUAUUAAAAACCUACCGAUUCUUAUAAGCUGCCAAGCUUAAUAUUUAAUUUAAAAUAAUUAUUAGCCAAGUAACGACAUACACGAUUCUCGUUUUCUAGAAGAGAAAAAGAAAAAAGUGAAAAAUUAGUACUCACACGCGUUGGAGCCAAGUAAAGCCAUCUCCAUAAAUACGCUCUGCUACCAAAGUCUCCAUCUCAUUCAUCGACUUGUUCACACAAAAACACCAAAAAGAUUACUGGAAUUCAGCGAAAUGGAACAACAGGGGGAAAUCGAAGGUUCUGGAUCCAGUCCUAGCUUCAGUUUUUACGCUGCUGAUACUUCAACAUCCAUGGCUAUCGCCAAAGUCAUCCAUGAAGAACAGGCCGGUCGGUUUCAUGAAUUUGGGGCUUCCAAUGAAGACGAUUUUAGAUUCUCGUUGGAUUUAAGUGAAGAAGAAGUUUCAGCAGAACAGAUCGAUUCGCGAGGGUGGACAGUUUUUCCACUUUUCAAUCGCGAUCUUCUAGUGAACAAUGAAGCUAAAUCAAAGGAUAAUGAAAUUCAUGCUUCUGAUUCUAUCACCAGUUCAUUACGGAAGCUGUUCAUUGAUGAACCAGAAGAAUCUUCAUCGUGUUCAUCAUCGGAAGCCGACGAAUUGGAAGCUCUACCUUCUGGAACUUACUGCGUGUGGAGACCUAAGACGGAUGGUGAAUCAUCAUCUGUUAUGACUAAAAUUAAGAAGAGUAGUUCUACGGGGUCUCUAUUGAAGAAGUGGAAGCUCCGGUAUAUGCUCCGGCGAAGCAGCAGUGAAGGGAAGG
rnacentral:lncRNA from 1 species